UCCUUUGGGGAUAUUGAUAAAAUCAGAACUAUACACAAAAGAUUAACAUAGUCACUGCGUAAGGAUGACACAAAAAAAAAAAAAUCAAGAAAUAGUCCA